GACGAACGCUGGCGGCGUGCUUAACACAUGCAAGUCGAACGGAAAGGCCCUGCUUUUGUGGGGUGCUCGAGUGGCGAACGGGUGAGUAACACGUGAGUAACCUGCCCUUGACUUUGGGAUAACUUCAGGAAACUGGGGCUAAUACCGGAUAGGAGCUCCUGCUGCAUGGUGGGGGUUGGAAAGUUUCGGCGGUUGGGGAUGGACUCGCGGCUUAUGAGCUGGUUGGUGGGGUAGUGGCUGACCAAGUCUUUGACGGGUAGCCGGCCUGAGAGGGUGACCGGCCACAUUGGGACUGAGAUACGGCCCAGACGCCUACGGGAGGCAGCAGGGGGGAAUAUUGCACAAUGGGGGGAAGCCUGAUGCAGCGACGCCGCGUGCGGGAUGACGGCCUUCGGGUUGUAAACCGCUGUCGCAUGUGACGAAGCGUGAGUGACGGUAACGGGUAAAGAAGCAACGGCUAACUACGUG
rnacentral:rRNA from 1 species